rnacentral:rRNA from 1 species
GAUGAACGCUGGCGGUAUGCUUAACACAUGCAAGUCGAACGGACUCUUCGGAGUUAGUGGCGGACGGGUGAGUAACGCGUGAGAAUCUGGCUUCUGGUUCGGGAUAACAGUGGGAAACGACUGCUAAUACCGGAUGUGCCUGCGGGUAAAAGGCUUGCUGCCAGAAGAUGAGCUCGCGUCUGAUUAGCUAGUUGGUGGGGUAAGAGCCUACCAAGGCGACGAUCAGUAGCUGGUCUGAGAGGAUGAUCAGCCACACUGGGACUGAGACACGGCCCAGACUCCUACGGGAGGCAGCAGUGGGGAAUUUUCCGCAAUGGGCGAAAGCCUGACGGAGCAAUACCGCGUGAGGGAAGAAGGCUCUUGGGUUGUAAACCUCUUUUCUCAGGGAAUAAGAAAGUGAAGGUACCUGAGGAAUCAGCAUCGGCUAACUCCGUGCCAGCAGCCGCGGUAAUACGGAGGAUGCAAGCGUUAUCCGGAAUGAUUGGGCGUAAAGCGUCCGCAGGUGGUUAUUCAAGUCUGCCGUUAAAGAGUCUGGCUUAACCAGAUAAAGGCGGUGGAAACUGAAAGACUAGAGUGCGGUAGGGGCAGAGGGAAUUCCCAGUGUAGCGGUGAAAUGCGUAGAGAUUGGGAA